rnacentral:rRNA from 1 species
GAUGAACGCUGGCUACAGGCUUAACACAUGCAAGUCGAGGGGAAACGACGGGGAAGCUUGCUUCCCCGGGCGUCGACCGGCGCACGGGUGAGUAACGCGUAUCCAACCUGCCUCUGACUGAGGGAUAACCCGUCGAAAGUCGGCCUAAUACCUCAUGGCAUCGUCUGCGGGCAUCCAACGACGAUUAAAGAUUUCAUCGGUCAGGGGUGGGGAUGCGUCUGAUUAGCUUGUUGGCGGGGUAACGGCCCACCAAGGCUACGUUCAGUAGGGGUUCUGAGAGGAAGGCACCCUGCAUUGGAACUGAGACACGGUCCAAACGCCUACGGGAGGCAGGAGUGAGGAAUAUUGGGCAAUGGGCGGGAGCCUGAACCAGCCAAGUAGCGUGCAGGAUGACGGCGCUAGGGGUUGUAAACUGCUGUUAUGCGGGGAUAAAGUGAGGGACGUGUCCUUCAUUGCAGGUACCGCAUGAAUAAGGACCGGCUAAUUCCGUG